AUGCUACACGGCUCUUUUGAGUCUUGUGAUUGGAACGAGCGAAGUUUUAAUGCUUCAAUGAGGAGCGAUUGGAGGCUAAGUCUGGUAUCAGCAGCCGCGGUAGUUUCAGCUCUAA
rfam:Botryotinia fuckeliana T4 unplaced genomic scaffold BcT4_SuperContig_K_V3__V4, whole genome shotgun sequence.